UAGCUUAUUAUAUGAAGUAUAUAGUACUUAUCAUUCCAUCAAACACCUCCCAUUUUUGUCACUGAUUUAAUUAAGGUUUUGAUUAAUUUUAACAAGUUUUACCAGCUACCAACCUUAGAUUAUACUGCUCCUACAUAGUACAUAUAAUUAUAUAAGAUAUGAAUCCAGACGAUACAGUGAGAGGUGAUAAUGUAACACUACCAGAAGUCAUCAUCGGAAAGCAAGCCCCUCAUCCCGCCCAUGAACCCGGCGCCGUUUCACCUCCCCCUUCUUCUGCUGAUCAAUCCCCUCGUAACGAGGAUGAGGUCCCUCAGCCCAAGUGUGGUAUCAUGGUUAAUUUAGGUGUAUUAAGGCGAAGGGUUAAGACGAUCCCACUUGUGAGAAGUUUGCCAGAUAUUACAGAUCGUUGUGUCCUCUAGAAUGGUUCGUAUAGUGGAUGAUUGGCGUUGUUGUCGUUGCAAAUUUUUGCAGAUACAAAGAUGGAAUGAACAGGUGAAAGAAGGGACAUUUCCAGGCCCUAUUUAAAGAGAUUUUGUUGGCUUGGUUUGGUACUUAGUGAUGAUAUUAGCUGCCUAAACUUUCUGUUCUAAUGUAGGGGUAUUUUUAUCAGUCUUGUGAGAUUACAAACAUCUUCUGUAAGUUAAGAUCCUUUCUACCAAUUUGUAGCUCCUAAGAUCGGGAGCCUUUUUUUUUU